rnacentral:lncRNA from 1 species
AACUUAAUUUUUAAAGUCCAAUCCAAUUUAUUUUGAGUCACUUAAGCCUAAAAAUUUAAUAAAAGUUCAAAUCAAUUUUUUCAGAUCCAAACACUAAUUAUAAACUGAAAUUAAAUUUUAAAAAUUUUUAAGGUCAAAUGUCAUUUUUUUUUAUUAAAAUUAAUUAAAUAGGAACGGCUGGCAGCCUUCCCUCUCCAUUAUCAGCUUCCUCUGUUUUUACCUCCCAUUUCACCUAUUCAACUCUAACACAAAUUCAUCAAAAAAUCCACCCAAGAACCAGCAUGCUACGCCUCCCGAACUGCAGCAAUGGCUGUUGCAACAAGAGUCCAACAAAAAUCAAUUGCCAUGUUCAUUUUUCCGGAGUUGAAUCCUAAAAGAACCGAGAAGGUUUUAACAUAGAGAAGGAGGGGACAAUUCAGAGAACCAAAGAAAAAAAAAACACAUUACCAAUCUACAAUGCCCAUUCACAGAAACGGAAACCCCAUAGCCCUUCCCAGCAUCCUCUUCCAACCUCCACAGCCGAGAACCACAUCCAAGAGCUAUCCCAUCCUAAACCAUCACGAAUAGACAGGAAAAUCUCAGAAGCCCCUUCCCUUAGCCACCCUCUACCCCAUAUACAACACCAGCAGAAAACCAUCCCUAGACUCCUUUGAACCACCAAAAAACUCCACCACCAUAAACACCCCUCUGAACCACCAAAUUCAAAACAUCCAACCAACACCAUCACUAACCCUCCACGCAGACCACCCGCGGCCUCACACCACCUCUGAAUCACCAUAACAGCCUGCGUCAUCACGCCUUCGGCUACCAUCCACCACCAUCAUUUCUCACAUCACCAACACAUAAACCCAAACCCGAACCACCAACCAACACCAUCGAGAACCACCAUCAACCCAACCCCUGCCUCUGCCUCCUUGACAGCCGAAACCAGCCCCUUUGUGACCCACCAUCGACCAAAAAAAAUAAAAAAUCAUCACAAGCCUACCUAAGCACCCCAGUCGAAAACCACUGCGUACAGCCACCACUGACCACCAAACCAUCACAGCCCCAAUCCCCACACCAACUGCCGAACUACUCCACCCUCAACCACCCAAAAAAAAUAUUUUUUUCUUUGAAAACUGAAACCAACUGUCAAGCAACGAGUAACCAGAAAAGAAAUUCACAUCCCCUGGGAGGGGACAAGCAGAGUCAAUAAGCCAAAACAAAAAACAAAAAGGAUAUAAAAAUCGGCAGAGGGAGAAAGCCAAGGAGCUUCGGUUUGGGAUGGCUCUAGUGAAGUUUCAGUGCUCAUUUUUGUGGAGGAAGAAGGAAUUGGGUAGCAGAGUGACAUACUAGGAGAACAGCUUGGUGCAGGCGGCGGAGGUAGUAGUUUUGGGUUUUUUUGUUAACUUUGAACCUAGAUCUAGGAUUAUUCGUGUUGAUUCAUGUAAAAAAAAAGGCCGGAUUUGAGAAGAGGGGAUCGGAAAGACGUUUCGGUGAAAUUUCGGCAUCCACAAGACGCCCGCCCGAGGUUGCUAUCUGCGGAACUGGGGAUUUAUUGGGCUGCUGGGUUUUGUUUAGAGAGGUUUUGGUGUUUUUUUUUUUU